rnacentral:rRNA from 1 species
CAAGAGCGUAUAUUAAAGUUGCUGCGGUUAUGAAGCUCGUAGUUGGAUGUCAGUCUGGGAAGGUUAACUCGCCGACAGGGUGUACGUUGAUUUUCCUAAGACUUCGUCAGAAACUCGCGCUGCAUUCCACUGUGUGGUACGAUGUUCUGACCUUUUUACCUUGAGGAAAAUAAAGUGUUUCACGUAGGCUACCAAGCUUGAAUACAUUAGCAUGGAAUAGGAUCUCGGUUCGAUUUCGUUGGUUCUAGAGCUGAGGUGAUGAUCAAUAGGAACAAGCGAAGGUAUCCGUACUUGGGAAUGAGGAGUGAAAUCCGAUGGUCUCUUAAAGACGAUCCGAGGCGAAAGUACUUGUCAAGGAUGUUUUCAUUGA